CCUCGGGCGGCAGCAGUGAGGAAUUUUGCGCAAUGGGGGAAACCCUGACGCAGCAACGCCGCGUGGGCGAUGAAGGCCUUCGGGUCGUAAAGCCCUGUCGGGCGGGAAGAACGCUCUUGGUCGAAGGACUGGGGGGUGACGGUACCGCCAGAGGAAGCACCGGCUAACUCCGUGCCAGCAGCCGCGGUAAUACGGAGGGUGCAAGCGUUAUUCGGAAUUACUGGGCGUAAAGGGCGUGCAGGCGGGAGAGGAAGUCUGAUGUGAAAGCCCGUGGCUGAACCCCGGAAGGGCAGUGGAAACUG
rnacentral:rRNA from 1 species